rnacentral:rRNA from 1 species
UACGUCAACAUCCUUAACGAAUUUGCUCACACUCUAGCCUGUUCGAAGGCGGUCCCUAACGACGUCAGCAAGCUGUCGCCGCCAGGGUGCCAACGAGAGGCCAGGUGGAACAGCCCUAAAGGUAUUCGUUGCAAUCCUCAAUCCCAAACACCACAUUCCGCCAAAGGUUAUAACACUCCCGAAGGAGCCACAUCCCUCCAGCCUUUUUAUGAUGUGAGAAAUUGACGUUAACCAGCCGACACAAAAGUGCACCAGACCGUUAAGUGGUCGCGAGCCGCGGCGGUUUUGAGGCUCGCCACAGCAGGUGAUCGCUCAGCGGGCGGGUUGAUUUCGCGCCAGCACGACUGACUUCAAGCGUUUCCCUUUCAACAAUUUCACGUACUGUUUAGCUCUCUUUUCAAAGUUCUUUUCAUCUUUCCCUCACGGUACUUGUUCGCUAUCGGUCUCUCGCCAAUAUUUAGCCUUAGGUGAUGUUUACCACCCAUUUGGAGCUGCAAUCCCAAACAACUCGACUCUUUGAAAGCGUAUCGUAGAUGAACGCACGACCGGUCACAGACGGGAUUGUCACCCUCUAUGAUGCCCUGUUCCAAGGAACUUCUACCGGCCGCGAGCCCAAGAAAACGCUUCUUCAAAUUACAACUCGGCCUUGAAACAAGGCGGAUUUAAAAUUUGAGCUCUUCCCUCUUCACUCGCCGUUACUAGGGGAAUCCUUGUUAGUUUCUUUUCCUCCGCUUAUUGAUAUCG